rnacentral:rRNA from 1 species
GCUAGUAAUGGCAGGUCAGCAUACUGCCGUGAAUACGUUCCCGGGCCCUUGUACACACCGCCCGUCACACCACGAGAGUUGGGGAUACCCGAAGCUUGUGAGCUAACUAUUUAUAGGAGCAGCAGUCGAAGGUAGAAUCAAUGAUUGGGGUGAAGUCGUAACAAGGUAAC